UACGUAGGGUGCGAGCGUUGUCCGGAAUUAUUGGGCGUAAAGAGCUCGUAGGCGGUGUGUCACGUCGGCCGUGAAAACCUGGGGCUCAACUCUGGGCGUGCGGUCGAUACGGGCAUCACUAGAGUUCGGCAGGGGAGACUGGAAUUCCUGGUGUAGCGGUGAAAUGCGCAGAUAUCAGGAGGAACACCGGUGGCGAAGGCGGGUCUCUGGGCCGAUACUGACGCUGGUGCGCGAAAGCCAGGGGAGCAAACGGG
rnacentral:rRNA from 1 species